rnacentral:rRNA from 1 species
AACGUACGCUGGCGGCAGGCUUAACACAUGCAAGUCGAACGCCCCGCAAGGGGAGUGGCAGACGGGUGAGUAACACGUGGGAACAUGCCCAAAGGUACGGAAUAUUCUCGGGAAACUGGGAGCAAUACCGUAUGUGCCCGAAAGGGGAAAGAUUUAUCGCCUUUGGAUUGGCCCGCGUUGGAUUAGCUAGUUGGUGGGGUAAAAGCCUACCAAGGCGACGAUCCAUAGCUGGUCUGAGAGGACGACCAGCCACACUGGGACUGAGACACGGCCCAGACUCCUACGGGAGGCGGCAGUGGGGAAUCUUGGGCAAUGGGCGCAAGCCUGAUCCAGCCAUGCCGCGUGAGUGAUGAAGGCCCUAGGGUUGUAAAACUCUUUCGUGGGGGACGAUAAUGACGGUACCCCAAGAAGAAGCUCCGGCUAACUUCGUGCCAGCAGCCGCGGUAACAC